GGAUUUCACAUUGCAGGAAGCAAUGGGCUCCAAUAUAUAAAAUAAUGUUUCCUGCAGUGUGACAUCCUG
rnacentral:pre_miRNA from 2 species